GGUUAAGCGACUAAGCGUACACGGUGGAUGCCCUGGCAGUCAGAGGCGAUGAAGGACGUGCUAAUCUGCGAAAAGCGUCGGUAAGGUGAUAUGAACCGUUAUAGCCGGCGAUGUCCGAAUGGGGAAACCCAGUGUGAUUCGUCACACUAUCGUUAACUGAAUACAUAGGUUAACGAGGCGAACCGGGGGAACUGAAACAUCUAAGUACCCCGAGGAAAAGAAAUCAACCGAGAUUCCCCCAGUAGCGGCGAGCGAACGGGGAGCAGCCCAGAGUCUGAAUCAGCUUGUGUGUUAGUGGAACGGUCUGGAAAGUCCGACGGUACAGGGUGAUAGUCCCGUACACCAAAAUGCACAGGCUGUGAACUCGAAGAGUAGGGCGGGACACGUGGUAUCCUGUCUGAAUAUGGGGGGACCAUCCUCCAAGGCUAAAUACUCCUGACUGACCGAUAGUGAACCAGUACCGUGAGGGAAAGGCGAAAAGAACCCCGGCGAGGGGAGUGAAAAAGAACCUGAAACCGUGUACGUACAAGCAGUGGGAGCACCUUCGGGUGUGACUGCGUACCUUUUGUAUAAUGGGUCAGCGACUUAUAUUCUGUAGCAAGGUUAACCGUAUAGGGGAGCCGCAGGGAAACCGAGUCUUAACUGGGCGUUAAGUUGCAGGGUAUAGACCCGAAACCCGGUGAUCUAGCCAUGGGCAGGUUGAAGGUUGGGUAACACUAACUGGAGGACCGAACCGACUAAUGUUGAAAAAUUAGCGGAUGACUUGUGGCUGGGGGUGAAAGGCCAAUCAAACCGGGAGAUAGCUGGUUCUCCCCGAAAGCUAUUUAGGUAGCGCCUCGUGAAUUCAUCUUCGGGGGUAGAGCACUGUUUCGGCUAGGGGGUCAUCCCGACUUACCAACCCGAUGCAAACUACGAAUACCGAAGAAUGUUAUCACGGGAGACACACGGCGGGUGCUAACGUCCGUCGUGAAGAGGGAAACAACCCAGACCGCCAGCUAAGGUCCCAAAGUCAUGGUUAAGUGGGAAACGAUGUGGGAAGGCACAGACAGCCAGGAUGUUGGCUUAGAAGCAGCCAUCAUUUAAAGAAAGCGUAAUAGCUCACUGGUCGAGUCGGCCUGCGCGGAAGAUGUAACGGGGCUAAACCAUGCACCGAAGCUGCGGCAGCGACACUAUGUGUUGUUGGGUAGGGGAGCGUUCUGUAAGCCUGCGAAGGUGACCUGUGAGGGUUGCUGGAGGUAUCAGAAGUGCGAAUGCUGACAUAAGUAACGAUAAAGCGGGUGAAAAGCCCGCUCGCCGGAAGACCAAGGGUUCCUGUCCAACGUUAAUCGGGGCAGGGUGAGUCGACCCCUAAGGCGAGGCCGAAAGGCGUAGUCGAUGGGAAACAGGUUAAUAUUCCUGUACUUGGUGUUACUGCGAAGGGGGGACGGAGAAGGCUAUGUUAGCCGGGCGACGGUUGUCCCGGUUUAAGCAUGUAGGCUGGUUGUCCAGGCAAAUCCGGAUAAUCAAGGCUGAGGUGUGAUGACGAGGUACUACGGUGCUGAAGUAACAAAUGCCCUGCUUCCAGGAAAAGCCUCUAAGCAUCAGGUAACAUUAAAUCGUACCCCAAACCGACACAGGUGGUCAGGUAGAGAAUACCAAGGCGCUUGAGAGAACUCGGGUGAAGGAACUAGGCAAAAUGGUGCCGUAACUUCGGGAGAAGGCACGCUGGUGUGUAGGUGAAGUCCCUGCGGAUGGAGCUGAGACCAGUCGAAGAUACCAGCUGGCUGCAACUGUUUAUUAAAAACACAGCACUGUGCAAACACGAAAGUGGACGUAUACGGUGUGACGCCUGCCCGGUGCCGGAAGGUUAAUUGAUGGGGUUAUCCGUAAGGAGAAGCUCUUGAUCGAAGCCCCGGUAAACGGCGGCCGUAACUAUAACGGUCCUAAGGUAGCGAAAUUCCUUGUCGGGUAAGUUCCGACCUGCACGAAUGGCGUAAUGAUGGCCAGGCUGUCUCCACCCGAGACUCAGUGAAAUUGAACUCGCUGUGAAGAUGCAGUGUACCCGCGGCAAGACGGAAAGACCCCGUGAACCUUUACUAUAGCUUGACACUGAACAUUGAGCCUUGAUGUGUAGGAUAGGUGGGAGGCUUUGAAGCGUGGACGCCAGUCUGCGUGGAGCCAACCUUGAAAUACCACCCUUUAAUGUUUGAUGUUCUAACGUUGGCCCCUUACCGGGGUUGCGGACAGUGUCUGGUGGGUAGUUUGACUGGGGCGGUCUCCUCCCAAAGCGUAACGGAGGAGCACGAAGGUUAGCUAAUCCUGGUCGGACAUCAGGAGGUUAGUGCAAUGGCAUAAGCUAGCUUGACUGCGAGCGUGACGGCGCGAGCAGGUGCGAAAGCAGGUCAUAGUGAUCCGGUGGUUCUGAAUGGAAGGGCCAUCGCUCAACGGAUAAAAGGUACUCCGGGGAUAACAGGCUGAUACCGCCCAAGAGUUCAUAUCGACGGCGGUGUUUGGCACCUCGAUGUCGGCUCAUCACAUCCUGGGGCUGAAGUAGGUCCCAAGGGUAUGGCUGUUCGCCAUUUAAAGUGGUACGCGAGCUGGGUUUAGAACGUCGUGAGACAGUUCGGUCCCUAUCUGCCGUGGGCGCUGGAGAAUUGAGGGGGGCUGCUCCUAGUACGAGAGGACCGGAGUGGACGCAUCACUGGUGUUCGGGUUGUCAUGCCAAUGGCACUGCCCGGUAGCUAAAUGCGGAAGAGAUAAGUGCUGAAAGCAUCUAAGCACGAAACUUGCCCCGAGAUGAGUUCUCCCUGAGACUUUAAGUCUCCUGAAGGAACGUUAAAGACGAUGACGUUGAUAGGCCGGGUGUGUAAGCGCAGCGAUGCGUUGAGCUAACCGGUACUAAUGAACCGUGAGGCUUAACCUU
rnacentral:rRNA from 1 species